GGGCCCGCACAAGCGGUGGAGUAUGUGGUUUAAUUCGAUGAUACGCGAGGAACCUUACCAGGUCUUAAAUGCAUAACGAACGAUUGGGAAACCAAUCUUUCUUCGGACGGAAUGCAAGGUGCUGCAUGGUUGUCGUCAGCUCGUGCCGUGAGGUGUCAGGUUAAGUCCUAUAACGAGCGCAACCCCUAUUCUUAGUUGCCAGCGGUUCGGCCGGGGACUCUAAGAAAACUGCCAGUGCAAGCUGUGAGGAAGGUGGGGAUGACGUCAAAUCAUCACGGCCCUUACGACCUGGGCCACACACGUGCUACAAUGGUAGGUACAAAGGGCAGCCACUUGGCGACAAGGAGCUAAUCCCUAAAAUGUACCUCAGUUCGGAUUGUACUCUGUAACUCGAGUGCAUGAAGCUGGAAUUGCUAG
rnacentral:rRNA from 1 species